CAGCAUAGCCUGGCCUACAAGAACAGAUGAAGCCAGUGCCAUUCAGUCGUCUUUUUGGUUGCACAUGAGACCACUAUAAAUGCAGAAGCCAUUGUCACAGCGGAACUUGACUGGCAUUUCACAAGUGAUGUUCCCUGAUGACAAAACAGUUGUACAUUGAUACACAUGGAGUUUUUAACAUCUUACAGCAGAAGAUAAGUUGUUCAUCUGAGCUGUCUCUGCAGUCAUUGAAGCCAUCACACACCCACUGCUGGUUCACACACACCUUGUUGUCACACUGGAACUGAUGUGCUGGACACCAUCGUCCUCCAGGAUAGCGAGUUGCUGUUGGGGAGACAAACAUUGAGCAACAAAUUCAACACUUC